UACGGGGGGGGCAAGCGUUGUUCGGAAUUACUGGGCGUAAAGGGCUCGUAGGCGGCCAACUAAGUCAGACGUGAAAUCCCUCGGCUUAACCGGGGAACUGCGUCCGAUACUGGAUGGCUUGAGUUUGGGAGAGGGAUGCGGAAUUCCAGGUGUAGCGGUGAAAUGCGUAGAUAUCUGGAGGAACACCCAUGGCGAAGGCAGGUUACUGGGCAUUAUCUGACGCUGAGGCGCGAAAGCGUGGGUAGCAAACAGG
rnacentral:rRNA from 1 species